AACGAACGUUGGCGGCAUGGAUUAGGCAUGCAAGUCGAAUGAAUGCUGGGUAGCAAUAUCCAGCGGAAAUGGCGAAAGGGGCAGUAAUACAUGGAUAACGUACCCUGGGGAUGGGCAUAGCCGGUCUAACGGCCGGGUAAUACCCAGAGAGUCGACGAUGUGGCAUCACAAUGUCGGGAAAUGAAUUUCGCCUCGGGAGGGUCCAUGAGCUAUCAGCUAGUUGGUGGGGUAACGGCCCACCAAGGCAUAGACGGCUAGCGGGUGUGAGAGCACGACCCGCGCCACUGGGCACUGAGACACUGGGCCAGACACCUACGGGUGGCUGCAGUCGAGGGUCUUCGUCAAUGGGCGAAAGCCUGAACGAGCGAUGCCGCGUGAGCGAU
rnacentral:rRNA from 1 species